rnacentral:lncRNA from 1 species
CUGGUUACCUGAGCCAGGUCUGGGGCCAGGCAGCAUGCAUUCUAGUCCUGCCUGGGACACUCACUGGCCUCAAGAUCUUGGGCAAAACAGCUGACUGCUUUGCACCUCAGUUUCCUCAUCUGUAAGGUCCAGGACUACCCACUUCCCUUGGAAUGGUGUUGCCAUCACUGUUCUGGCACCGGAGAAAGGAUUCUACAUCGUUAGGAGAAAAGAAAAAGGAGAAUUUGGGCUUGCACUGAGAGGAUUACCUUUGGUGGUCUGGAAGUGGUGGGGUUGCAGCAUUGAAGGCACCAUCUUGGAAGCAGAGACUAGACCCUCACCAAGCAAUUAACAUGCUGGUGCAUUGAUCUUGGACUUUCCAGCCUCCAGAACUGUGAGAAAUAAAUUUCUGUUCUUAAUUAAUUACCCAGUCCCAGGUAUUCUGUUAUAGCAGCACAAAGCUUAGACGGGCUCCUUACAUCUUGAGGCUCCAUUAUCUCCUGGGAACUGGGAGUCCUUAGGUUCUAGCCAUGGAAAGAGAAACAAAAGAUGGAGAAGGCACACAUGCUUCUUAAUGGUCGUGGUUCAGAAGUAACAAAUACUAAUUCUAUAUAUUCUACUGGCUCAACACAAAUGCAGGGGUGUGCUGGGAAUGGAGUCUCUGAUUGGGCAGCAGGGAUCAGGGAUCAAAGAUCAGGAAAUAUUCCAGGGUGAAUAUUUUACUAGGUGAGGAGGACCAUGAAUUUUGACAAACAGCCUUUGCUGCUCUACCCACUCCUCAUCAUCACUGUUAGACACAAAGAGAAAUGGCAGCACUUUUUGUCCAUUGAUUGUAACUCUUUCUUUAAAGACUUUUAAGGCAGAAUCUCAAUUCAUCUCUUCUAUGAAACUUUCAUGAUUCAAAGGGAAGUCCCUGCAUGGACACUGCCAGCUUCAUUGCACUUCUGCCUCUAUGCUUUUUCCUGAACCUUCUCCACCUCUGGAACGUACUUCAGGCUGCACAGGGAGCAUGGCUGGGAGGCCUCAGGAAACUGAC